AUCCUCUCAGAGUCGCACCUGGAGAGUUUCCAGUACUCUACCAGUCUCGACUAUGGGAGGAAGAGUCAAGCAGAGGCCUAUCCAUUCCAUUUCUAGCUUGGGCAGUGGCUAGAGAGUGGACGGCAAUCUGCUACAAGU
rnacentral:snoRNA from 2 species